GGGGCAGCUACCAUGCAGUCGAGCGGAUGAGGGAGCUUGCUCCUGGAUUCAUCGGCGGACGGGUGAGUAAUGCCUAGGAAUCUGCCUGGUAGUGGGGGAUGACGUCCGGAAACGGGCGCUAAUACCGCAUACGUUCUGAGGGAGAAAGUGGGGGAUCUUCGGACCUCACGCUAUCGCAUGAGCCUAGGUCGGAUUAGCUAGUUGGUGGGGUAAAGGCCUACCAUCGCGACGAUCCGUAACUGGUCUGAGAGGAUGAUCAGUCACACUGGAACUGAGACACGGUCCAGACUCCUACGGGAGGCAGCAGUGGGGAGUAUUGGACAAUGGGGGAAAGCCUGAUCCAGACAUGCCGCGUGUGUGAAGAAGGUCUUCGGAUUGUAAAGCACUUUAAGUUGGGAGGAAGGGCAGUAAGUUAAUACCUUGCUGUUUUGACGUUACCAACAGAAUAAGCACCGGCUAACUUCGUGCCAGCAGCCGCGGUAAUACGAAGGGUGCAAGCGUUAAUCGGAAUUACUGGGCGUAAAGCGCGCGUAGGUGGUUCAGCAAGUUGGAUGUGAAAUCCCCCGGGCUCAACCUGGGAACUGCAUCCAAAACUACUGAGCUAGAGUACGGUAGAAGGGUGGUGGAAUUUCCAUGUGUAGCGGUGAAAUGCGUAGAUAUAGGAAGGAACACCAGUGGCGAAGGCGACCACCUGGACUGAUACUGACACUGAGGUGCGAAGGCGUGGGGAGCAAACAGGAUUAGAUACCCUGGUAGUCCACGCCGUAAACGAUGUCGACUAGCCGUUGGGAUCCUUGAGAUCUUAGUGGCGCAGCUACCGCGAUAAGUCGACCGCCUGGGGAGUACGGCCGCAAGGUUAAAACUCAAAUGAAUUGACGGGGGCCCGCACAAGCGGUGGAGCAUGUGGUUUAAUUCGAAGCAACGCGAAGAACCUUACCUGGCCUUGACAUGCUGAGAACUUUCCAGAGUGGAUUGGUGCCUUCGGGAACUCAGACACAGGUGCUGCAUGGCUGUCGUCA
rnacentral:rRNA from 1 species